GCUGCCCCGGGGGCCGCUCCCGCCGCCUCAGGGCGGGACGAGCCGCCAGCCCCCACGGGCGGGCCGGGCCGGAGGGGUGUCCUCCGCGGGCUGGGGCACCCGCUGCGGCGCCCACGCGAGGAAGGCUCCGCGGGGCUCCCCCGAACGCCUCGCUCCCCCCGGCCGUCGCUAGCAGAGGCCCGGCGCACUCCCGCAGGACUCCCCGUUCAGGGCAGGAACGGAGCUGCGUUCUAAAUAAUCUCAACCCCGGGGGAGACACCUGUGGGAGUUUAUUGCUCGAUCGAGCUCGUUGGUGGCAGCCCGGCCACAGCAAAGAGAUUCCCAAAAGCCUGCUCAGGAAAAGCCGCCUUACAGCCCAGAAGUAGAGGACGUAUCUAUGUGCUGCUGCCUGGGGCUCUGUAGUCCGUGACACGGUCUUCAUGUGUGAUCGAUGCCCGUGCGAAGCACAUCGAGAAGGUGCAGGUAUCCUCACUGCUGAGAAAUUACCAUGGUUCAUCUGCUUCUUCCACAGGGUUCUUUUCUUGCAACCCACUAUUCUCUGAACAAGAGUCGUUAUCUCCGUCGCUACGAUGACC